GAUGAACGCUGGCGGCGUGCCUAAUACAUGCAAGUCGAGCGAACAGACGAGGAGCUUGCUCCUCUGACGCUAGCGGCGGACGGGUGAGUAACACGUGGAUAACCUACCUAUAAGACUGGGAUAACUUCGGGAAACCGGAGCUAAUACCGGAUAAUAUAUUGAACCGCAUGGUUCAAUAGUGAAAGACGGUUUUGCUGUCACUUAUAGAUGGAUCCGCGCCGCAUUAGCUAGUUGGUAAGGUAACGGCUUACCAAGGCAACGAUGCGUAGCCGACCUGAGAGGGUGAUCGGCCACAUUGGGACUGAGACACGGCCCAAACUCCUACGGGAGGCAGCAGUAGGGAAUCUUCGGCAAUGGACGAAAGUCUGACCGAGCAACGCCGCGUGAGUGAAGAAGGUUUUCGGAUCGUAAAACUCUGUUGGUAGAGAAGAACGUUGGUGAGAGUGGAAAGCUCAUCAAGUGACGGUAACUACCCAGAAAGGGACGGCUAACUACGUG
rnacentral:rRNA from 1 species